AGCCACGUUGCAGAGAGUCGAGAUCGAGAGUGGGUCCAGCGAUCAAGAAGGCAGCUUCUGCACGUGCUGUUGAAGUGAGGGGCAGAUGGGACUCAUCCACCUGGGAAGCGAGACCCUCUGGACAUGGGUAGGCAAACUAAGGCCCGGGGGUCAGAUCCGGCCCAAUCGCCUUCUCAAUCUGGUCCGCGGAUGGUCUGGGAAUUAGCAUGUUUUGACAUGAGUAGAAUGUGUGCUUUUAUUUAAAAUGCAUCUCUGGGGUAUUUGUGGGGCAUAGGAAUUCGUUCAAUUCCCCCCCCCCCAAUACAGUCCGAUCCCCCACAAGGUCUGAGGAACAGUGGAUUGGCCCCCCUGCUGAAAAAGUUUGCUGACCCCUGGUCUAGGAGGAGCAAAACUUAAUUGUGAGAUAUACUGGGGUGGCAGGGAGAAGGCUGAGGAGUCUUCUUUGGCUAUCACUUGUAGCCAAGUAAGAUUGUCUUUCGUGAACACAAUCUUAACAAUGAGUCUGUAAGUGACUGUGGAGGCCAAUUCUGAAUCCACACAUCCUUCCACAGUGGGGACAUUGGUUUCUGGGCGGGAGUUGAUCACGGUGUGGAUUUGCCAAGUGUGACUUCCUCUUAGCACGUUUCUCCCUUUCGUCCUGAGUUCUAGCGUCUUCAAAGCCCAUGACACCUUUGGUAAAGGCUGUUCUCCAACUGGAGCGCUCGCAGGCCAGUGUUUCUCAGUUGUCGGUGUUUAUAUUACAUUUUUUAAGAUUUGCUGAGAAGGGAGCCCCUCUAAGAGGAGCAAAACCUCCUUGCAAGAUAUCUUCGGGAGACCCUACACAAAUCCAGAGUACAGUCCCUAAGAUGGUUGGGUGGCACCUUGUACGCCUUCUUCCGGCAACUCCUGCAGCCAAGCUGGUGCCAAACGCAUUGCUCUGCUUUCCUUUGGACCAGCGAGGCCAAGAGGGUUGUUUUGUUUUGUUUUUGUCGUCUGGGCAGCCCGGAACCUCCAGACACACUGCCCAGGCUUGCGGUUUGACUUCACCCCCCACGCCAGGCGCACUCCAUUCUCCCUCGAGACAGACAAGGCUGGCAGGACUUGUACGCCAACAGCUGUUGAAGUGCCA